AUAUUCUUUCAACAGCUGCCUUAAUGUGCUGGGAAUGCGGUGACCGAUGCACUAUCAAUAACACAACUGACUGUCCUGCCUGAUUUAUUUUGCAGUUAUCCUGGAGAAAUCACUUUGUGGUUACGACUCAGCAAAUGUUGAGGAACGUACCUCUUGCCAAAAUUACUAAACCUGAAACUGGCUUGCUACUCAGCAGAAAGAAGAAAAAACAGGCAGCUGAAGUAUGCUGGAAACAGUAUCCAUUUGGGAUUGCAGGAAAAAUCAAGUGAAGGAUAAAAAGUAGUCUGCAAACAAAUCAGGCAUAUUAAGGGUCAUGCAAUGCAUCAAACUAGAAAAAGGGAUUCCCCCAAAGCAAGCAUGAUUUUAAGUGGAAAACUUCCUUCAGGAAAUGGGAGGGCACCUGAGCAUUUUGCAGACCUGAGAUUGCAUCCAAAUGCCUUUGCAAGGAUCCAGGCAAAAAGACUUUCCUUCUGUCCUUUCCAGUGAGACUUCAGAACUGUGACUAAACCAUGACGAGUUAAAAGCAUGUGUAAUAUAUGCAUGAAAUCUGCAGCACCCUUCCUUAAAAUUGAUGCAGAUCAACAGACCCUGCUUGUUUUGGACCACAGAACAAGAAGUAAGUCCUACAGGCAAGUCCCCUGCCAGCAUUCUUCUCUGGAGAGCAUCAGCAGGAAAAGAUCAAGUAUGUGAAUGUCUCUGAUUAUGUCCUGAGGUUGUUAAUGGGAGAAAGUGGAGGAUGAACAUUGGUUAGCCUUUAAAAUUUGAAUAUAAAUUGCUUUUCCAACAAGCCAAGAAA
rnacentral:lncRNA from 1 species